UACGUAGGGGGCAAGCGUUGUCCGGAUUUAUUGGCGUAAAGAGCGUGUAGGCGGCCAUUCAGGUCAGCUGUGAAAACUCGAGGCUCAACCUCGAGACGUCGGUUGAAACCGUUUGGCUAGAGUCCGGAAGAGGAGAGUGGAAUUCCCGGUGUAGCGGUGAAAUGCGCAGAUAUCGGGAAGAACACCCGUGGCGAAGGCGGCUCUCUGGGACGGUACUGACGCUGAGACGCGAAAGCGUGGGGAGCGAACGAGG
rnacentral:rRNA from 1 species